AUUGAACGCUGGCGGCAGGCCUAACACAUGCAAGUCGAACGAGUGGCAGCCGGGUGAGUAAUGUCUGGGAAACUGCCUGAUGGAGGGGGAUAACUACUGGAAACGGUAGCUAAUACCGCAUACCAUCAGAUGUGCCUAGAUGGGCUUAGCUUGUUGGUGGCGUAACGGAUCACCAAGGCGACGAUCCCUAGCUGGUCUGAGAGGAUGACCAGACACACUGGAACUGAGACACGGUCCAGACUCCUAAGGGAGGCAGGAGUAGAGAAGAUGGGACAAUGGGCGCAAGGCUGAAAGAGCCAUGCCGCGAGUAUGAAGAAGGCCUGCGGGUUGUAAAGUACUUGCAGCAGGGAGGCGUUACGCGAAGAAGAAGCACCGGCUAACUACGUGCCAGCAGCCGCGGUAAUUC
rnacentral:rRNA from 1 species